GGGUUUACAAAGAUAAUAAUGUAUUUAAAACAUUUAGAACUUCAUGGACUGCCUGACCUAAAAAUAAAUUACACUGAAAGGCUGCAAAGAUGGAGAAAUGAACACAGGACCAUUUCAUCUGCCAUUUAUAUCCUUCCAGGUAGGCUCUAUCUCGGGCAUUUUACUCCAGCCAUUUUCCUUGAGAUAACUUGGAGCAAACAAAAUGUUGUCCUUCUGUGCCUACUUCAAGGUUUAAAAUCAGAAUUGUCCCAAACAGGAAAAUGUUAUUUGAGAAGAAUUAUGUCCCAACAGUGUUUGAGAAUUAGACGGCCAAUUUUGAAACUGACACACAAAGAAUAGAGUGGAGUCUGUGGCACACUUCGGUAAAUACAUGGAGAAGACAGCCUAGGUUGCAGCAAGCAAAUUCAUACUGGACCAAAGAGAGACAAAUAUGCACAUAUGCUAGCAUUGGCUUAACACUCAGAGACCCUGAUCUCUAGAGGGAGAACCUGGUUGGCUGAUAAGCAUUGGUACCAUCUGAGUGUGCAGUGCCCAGUGGCAAAAUGAACACAAAACAAGAUCCAUCCCAACACUGACCAGCUCCAUUGUUUGAGCCUCAUUGAUUUUGCUCAUGUGGCUUUUCAAGGAGUAUGGGCUUAUUGGAACACUUGCAUGU